rnacentral:rRNA from 1 species
AUACGUAGGGCGCAAGCGUUGUCCGGAAUUAUUGGGCGUAAAGAGCUCGUAGGCGGUUUGUCGCGUCUGCUGUGAAAGCCCCGGGGCUCAACCCCCGGGUCUGCAGUGGGUACGGGCAGACUAGAGUGCAGUAGGGGAGACUGGAAUUCCUGGGUGUAGGCGGUGAAAAUGCGCAGAUAUCAAGGAGGAACACCGAUGGCGAAGGCAGGUCUCCUGGCU